rnacentral:misc_RNA from 1 species
AUGAUUUUUUAUUAUUUGUGAACGUACUACGAACAAUCAAAAAAUAUUAUAGUCAAAAAAAAUUAAAUCA